GUGACUAUAAUGAAGAUCUAUCAAACCAAUUGAGGAAGGAGUCGAUAGAUGGAUUGGAGAAGGAAGAAGUUUUGAAUUUAGAACUAGAAUCGGUGGAACUUAUAUUCGUUAAUGCAGCAAAUGAUCAAUUUGGUGGGCCAGAGGAACUAGUAACUUUGUAGAGUGUUGUUAAAUAGUUUCUAGAUAGGAAUCAAUUGUGUGUUUGUGAUGACGCUAUACAGAUAGGAGUAGAGCUAUGUAAAAUAGAUAUUAGUUCAUUUUUAUAAGAUAUUGGUAAAAUAGAUUAAAAGUCCAUAGAAUAGUCAGUUCAGGAGGAUGGAUGGUUGAUUUAGUUAUUAAAAGUGGUUAUUAUAGGAUUAUAGUUAGGAUCUAGAAAUCAAUAGCAAUUAUAUAGGAAUUAUAGAAGUUUGUUGGGGUGCCAGACUGCGAUAAUCAUGAGCCGAGGUUAAGCUUGGUGCUACCUCUUUGUUCUCUUUGUUUUCUUUAUUGUUGAAGAAUAAUAGAUAGUUUUUUGAUUAUUGAGAAGUGAGUCUGUGGAAUAAAUCAGAGAUUGAUUUAUUAGUUAUUGAUUAUAUAAUUGGAGUAUUGAGUGAUUGAAUUAUAUGAGAAGUUAUUGGAAGAUUAAUUAUGGAUGGAAGAUUAUGAUUUUUAUUUAUUGAGAGUUGUGUGUGUUUUGGACAGAG
rnacentral:lncRNA from 1 species